AAUCAACGCUGGCGGCGUGCCUAACACAUGCAAGUCGAACGAGAAAGGGUAGCAAUACCUGAGUAAAGUGGCGCACGGGUGAGUAACACGUGACUAACCUACCCUGGAGUGGGGGAUAACUGAGGGAAACCUUAGCUAAUACCGCAUAAUACCUACGGGUCAAAGGAGCAAUUCGCUUCAGGAGGGGGUCGCGUCCGAUUAGUUAGUUGGCGGGGUAAUGGCCCACCAAGACAGUGAUCGGUAUCCGGCCUGAGAGGGCGCACGGACACACUGGAACUGAAACACGGUCCAGACUCCUACGGGAGGCAGCAGUGGGGAAUUUUGCGCAAUGGGGGAAACCCUGACGCAGCAACGCCGCGUGGAGGAUGAAGUCCUUCGGGGAAUAAACUCCUUUCGAUCGGGACGAUAAU
rnacentral:rRNA from 1 species